rnacentral:rRNA from 1 species
AACCUGGUUGAUCUUGCCAGUAGUCAUAUGCUUGUCUCAAAGAUUAAGCCAUGCAAGUGAAAGUAUAUAUAUAUUUUAUAUGUAGAAACUGCGAACGGCUCAUUAAAACAGUUAUAGUCUACUUGACAUUUUUAUUAUAAGGAUAACUACGGAAAAGCUGUAGCUAAUACUUGCUUUAUUAUCCUUUGAUUUUAUAUCUUAGGAUAAGUACUUGUUAGGCCUUAUAAGAAAAAAGUUAUUAACUUAAGGAAUUAUAACAAAGAAGUAACACGUAAUAAAUUUAUUUUAUUUAGUGUGUAUCAAUCGAGUUUCUGACCUAUCAGCUUUUGAUGUUAGGGUAUUGGCCUAACAUGGCUAUGACGGGUAACGGGGAAUUAGAGUUCGAUUCCGGAGAGGGAGCCUGAGAAAUAGCUACCACAUCUAAGGAAGGCAGCAGGCGCGUAAAUUACCCAAUUCUAAAGAAGAGAGGUAGUGACAAGAAAUAACAAUGCAAGGCCAAUUUUUGGUUUUGUAAUUGGAAUGGUGGGAAUUUAAAACCUUCCCAGAGUAACAAUUGGAGGGCAAGUCUGGUGCCAGCAGCCGCGGUAAUUCCAGCUCCAAUAGCGUAUAUUAAAAUUGUUGCAGUUAAAACGCUCGUAGUUGAAUUUCAAAGAAUCGAUAUUUUAUUGCAACUAUAUUAGGGGAACUAUUUUAGCUUCCGCUUUAAUACGCUUCCUCUAUUAUUAUGUUCUUUAAAUAACAAAGAUUCUUUUUAAAAUCCCCACUUUGCUUUUAUGCUUUUUGGGGAUUUUGUUACUUUGAGUAAAUUAGAGUGUUCAAAGCAAACAGUUAAAGCAUUUUACUGUGUUUGAAUACUAUAGCAUGGAAUAACAAAAUUGAACAGGCUGAAAUUUUUUUGUUCUUUUUUCUUAUUUUGGCUUAGUUACGAUUAAUAGGAGUAGCUUGGGGACAUUCGUAUUCAGAUGUCAGAGGUGAAAUUCUUAGAUUUUCUGGAGACGAACAACUGCGAAAGCAUUUGUCUAAAAUACUUCCAUUAAUCAAGAACGAAAGUUAAGGGAGUGAAGACGAUCAGAUACCGUCGUAAUCUUAACCAUAAACUAUGCCGACUAGGUGUUGGAUGAAAGUGUUAAAAAUAAAAGUCAUCUUUCGAGGUGACUUUUAGAUUGCUUCCUUCAGUACCUUAUGAGAAAUCAAAGUCUUUGGGUUCUGGGGCGAGUAUUCGCGCAAGCGAGAAAGUUAAAAGAAUUGACGGAAGGGCACCACCAGGCGUGGAGCUUGCGGCUUAAUUUGACUCAACACGGGGAAACUCACUAGUUUAAGACAAGAGUAGGAUUGACAGAUUAAUAGCUCUUUCUUGAUUUCUUGGAUGGUGAUGCAUGGCCGUUUUUAGUUCGUGAAUAUGAUUUGUCUGGUUAAUUCCGAUAACGAACGAGAUCUUAACCUGCUAAUUAGCGGUAAGUACGCCAUAUUCUUAAUUGAAAUUGAAUAUAGGUAAUUAUACAUUUAUUCAGUGAUCAAAUUAGGAUAUUUUUAUUAAAAUAUCCUUUUCCCUGUUCUACUAAUAAUUUGUUUUUUACUCUAUUUCUCUCUUCUUUUAAGAAUGUACUUGCUUGAUUGUAAAGCUUCUUAGAGGAACAUUGUGUGUCUAACACAAGGAAGUUUAAGGCAACAACAGGUCUGUGAUGUCCUUAGAUGAACUAGGCUGCACGCGUGCUACACUGAUAUAUAUAACGAGUUAUUAAAAAUAUGCAUUUAUUUGUAUCUUUGAUGCUUAUAUUUUGCAUACUUUUCCUCCGCCGAAAGGCGUAGGUAAUCUUUAUCAAUAUAUAUCGUGAUGGGGAUAGAUUAUUGCAAUUAUUAAUCUUGAACGAGGAAUGCCUAGUAAGCAUGAUUCAUCAGAUUGUGCUGACUACGUCCCUGCCCUUUGUACACACCGCCCGUCGCUCCUACCGAUUGAAAGAUAUGAUGAAUUGUUUGGACAAGAAAAAUGGAAUUAUAUUCUUUUUUUUCUGGAAAAACCGUAAAUCCUAUCUUUUAAAGGAAGGAGAAGUCGUAACAAGGUUUCCGUAGGUGAACCUGCGGAAGGAUCAUUA